rnacentral:rRNA from 1 species
AUUGAACGCUGGCGGCAUGCCUUACACAUGCAAGUCGAACGGUAACAGGUCUUCGGAUGCUGACGAGUGGCGAACGGGUGAGUAAUACAUCGGAACGUGCCUAGUAGUGGGGGAUAACUACUCGAAAGAGUGGCUAAUACCGCAUGAGAUCCACGGAUGAAAGCAGGGGAUCGCAAGACCUUGUGCUACUAGAGCGGCCGAUGGCAGAUUAGGUAGUUGGUGGGAUAAAAGCUUACCAAGCCGACGAUCUGUAGCUGGUCUGAGAGGACGAUCAGCCACACUGGGACUGAGACACGGCCCAGACUCCUACGGGAGGCAGCAGUGGGAAAUUUUGGAUAAUGGGCGCAAGCCUGAUCCAGCAAUGCCGCGUGCAGGAUGAAGGCCUUCGGGUUGUAAACUGCUUUUGUACGGAACGAAAAGCCCCGGGUUAAUACCCUGGGGUCAUGACGGUACCGUAAGAAUAAGCACCGGCUAACUACGUGCCAGCCGCCGCCGUAA